rnacentral:rRNA from 3 species
GAGGAAUGUAUAGCAAUAGCUACUUGCAUCAUUGUAGAUAUGAUGUAAGAUCGACUAUGUUGAAUAAAAUUCUAGGUAGAAUUAUGAUAAUGACAUUGUCUGCCUAUGUGUCUUGACCAAAUUACGUGCCAGCAGUCGCGGUAAUACGUAGAAGACUAGUGUUAUUCAUGUUUAAUCGGUUUAAAGGGUACCUAGACGGUAGAUCAAGCUUUCUAAUAAAUGAAAAGGACUAAUUUACUAGAGUUACUUAUGAGGGGGUAUUAAAGUACUGCUGGUGUAGAGAUGAAAUUCUGUCAUACCUCUUUUCAAAGGAAAAACCAUGGCACAGGUAUAGGCGAAGGCAUCCCCUUAUGUGAUAACUGACGUUGAGGGACGAAGGCUUUGUGUAGCGAACAGGAUUAGAUACCCCAGUAGUCGAAGCAGAAAAUGAUGAAUGUCAUAGAUUAGAUGUAUAAGUUUAUUCUAUAAAUGAAAGUGUAAGCAUUCCACCUCAUGAGUAAUUUGGCAACAUUGGAACUGAAAUCAUUAGACCGUUUCUGAAACCAG